GUGGUGCCAAGGAUGAGCAAAUCAAUCUGUUCCUCGGUCACCUCCCAUACCCAGCGAGAUGGAAGGAGGAUUCCGGCAGCCAUUCUUUGCAGCUACGGGUGAGCUCGGAUUUGAAUCUCUCUCUCUCUUCCCUGUGCUCACCCAUGCCCCGGCUGCCACAUUAUUUAUUACCAACUCGCACACAUGCUUUCCUUUCCCAUUUCGAAAUAAAUCUCAAUCUUUCACCUCAAAUUUGAUUCUUUUUACUACAUUUUUUUUAGGAUUUUGGCAUUCUUCUUGAGGAAGUAAAAACAUUAUUUUGGAGAAAAAACAUUUUUUUGUUUUGCUUUUCUUUCACUGCCUUGAAUUAGUACUGACGCGUGGGACCCAUGUGUAAGUCAGGUGGCAGCGUGGCACCCCUAUUGGGAUGAGCUGGCACAGUUACACGCCUGGGAGAUCGAUCACCAGGUGCCCUUUCGUUACAUGCGCCGCGGCUCAUCUCAAUCGUGGCUUGUGUACAUCAGGGCU
rnacentral:lncRNA from 1 species